rnacentral:lncRNA from 1 species
AAAACAACAGAUAAUUCAGCUCUAUCUUAUAUAUUCUCUACUGUUCAUGCAUAUUCACAACUCCAAAAUUCAAGACAUUUAAACACUGACUGCCACUGUGAUUUAUUUGCCUUAAAACCUUAUAAAGCAUGGAUGGCUGUGAUAAUCUGCUUUUCUGAGAAUUUUUUAAUUUUUAAAUUUGUACAGCCCUUACAGUUUUUCUGCAAUAAUUUAUUCAGGAGCAUCACAGAGUGGAAUGAAUACACAUAAGUAUGCAUUGAUCAGUCCUUAAUCCUCAGAGAGAAGAAGACAUGAGUAGAUUAUGGGAGUUUAGUACCAACAUUUUUUUUUUUUUUUUUUUUUUUUUUUUUUUUUACCANAAUGAGCAGUGCUGGAUGGCAGUUGGCAGGAGGCAGAGUCACCCUGAAUGAAUUUACGGACCAUGGCGAUUUUGCACCAAUUUCCAGCUCUGGAUUCAGCGUAAAUACUCAGCCACUGCCAAGACUUAGCAUUCAGGGUGUGUCUUAAGCAUGAUCCUGAUGAUGUUGGAACAAACGAGUAAGAAUACGUACAAAACACAUUAAUUGCGUUGAAAUCCAUGAUCAGAUCAGAUUUUCUUGCCUACCUGACUUGUGGUAAACAAGAUGAUGAGCUUCCAGUUUUGCUCUGGGAUUAUCAGAACCAUCACUUUUUGUCGCCAGUAACAUGUUUUAUGUGGAAUCUAAACUUGGAUGCAACAAAUAAUACGGCUAUAAAAUAUGAAGGCAAAAAAAAUCUGUCUGGAA